GGAUUCCCCAAUGUAAUAGGCUGCAUUGAUGGCACACACAUCCCCAUCAGGGCUCCUUCACAUAAUGAGGCAGAUUAUGUGAACAGGAAGUCGACACAUAGCAUCAAUGUGCAGGUACAUAUACUGCUUCAACAUGUUAAACACCUCAUCAUAGUUCAAUUAACAUCUGUCAUUCUCUGCACUGUCAAGAUCAUAUGUGAUGCUAAAUACAUCAUCACCAAUGUGGAGGCCAAGUGGCCUGGAUCAGUCCACGACUCAAGGGUGUUCCGCGAGUCAAACCUGAACGCCAGACUCCAACGUGGUGAGAAGCCUGAAGGUUUGCAGUAUAACUCUCUUGUCUCCCUCCUUUAAUACACUCAUGCAUCCACUCUAUAUUACAGGAGAGUUUGACGGCCUUCUGCUGGGUGACAGGGGUUACCCGUGUCAACUGAGGCUACUGACCCCAUACCCAGACCCUGAACCAGGCCCCCAACAGAACUUCAACCGGGCUCACUGCAGGACGAGAGCCCGGGUGGAGAUGACCAUAGGCCUGCUGAAAGCCCGUUUCCAGUGCCUACGUCACCUCAGGGUGACCCCCGAGAGGGCCUGUGAUAUUAUA